rnacentral:rRNA from 1 species
UACGGAGGGUGCGAACGUUAAUCGGAAUUACUGGGCGUAAAGCGCACGUAGGCGGCUCGCUAAGUGGGAUGUGAAAGCCCUGUGCUUAACCUGGGAAUUGCAUUCCAAACUGGCGGGCUAGAGUGUGGUAGAGGGGGGUAGAAUUCCCUGUGUAGCGGUGAAAUGCGUAGAUAUAGGGAGGAAUACCUGUGGCGAAGGCGGCCCCCUGGACCAACACUGACGCUGAGGAGCGAAAGCGUGGGGAGCGAACAGG